AGUGAACGCUGGCGGUAGGCCUAACACAUGCAAGUCGAACGGCAGCACAGUAAGAGCUUGCUCUUACGGGUGGCGAGUGGCGGACGGGUGAGGAAUACAUCGGAAUCUACUUUUUCGUGGGGGAUAACGUAGGGAAACUUACGCUAAUACAGCAUACGACCUACGGGUGAAAGCAGGGGAUCUUCGGACCUUGCGCGAUUGAAUGAGCCGAUGUCGGAUUAGCUAGUUGGCGGGGUAAAGGCCCACCAAGGCGACGAUCCGUAGCUGGUCUGAGAGGAUGAUCAGCCACACUGGAACUGAGGCACGGUCCAGACUCCUACGGGAGGCCGCAGUGGGGAAUAUUGGACAAUGGACGCAAGCCUGAUCCAGCCAUACCGCGUGGGUGAAGAAGGACUUCGGGUUGUAAAGUCCUUUUGUUGGGAAAGAAAAGCAGCAGGUUAAUACCCCGCUGUUCUGACGGUACCCAAAGAAUAAGCACCGGCUAACUUCGUG
rnacentral:rRNA from 1 species